rnacentral:rRNA from 1 species
UAGGGAAUAUUAGAAAUGGACGAAAGUCUGAUCUAGCAACACCGCGUGUGCGAGGAAGGCCUUCGGGUUGUAAAGCACUUUUUGGAAGGAUUAGGAAGGAAUGUACUUCCAGAAUAAGUCUCGGCUAACUACGUGCCAGCAGCCGCGGUAACACGUAGGAGGCAAACGUUAUCCGGAUUUACUGGGCGUAAAGCGCGUGUAGGUGGUUCAGUAAGUAGGGCGUGAAAGCUCCUGGCUCAACUGGGAGAGGCCGUUCUAAACUGCAGAGCUAGAGGAUGGUAGAGGGAGGUGGAAUUCCGGGUAUAGCGGUGGAAUGCGCAGAUAUCCGGAGGAACACCAGUGGCGAAAGCGGCCUCCUGGACCAUUCCUGACACUCAGACGCGAAAGCUAGGGUAGCAAACGG